rnacentral:rRNA from 1 species
GCGAACGCUGGCGGCGUGCUUAACACAUGCAAGUCGAACGGGCCUUGUCCCCUUUUUUUUUGGGGGUGGGGUUAGUGGCGAACGGGUGAGUAACACGUGAGUAACCUGCCCCUCACUUCUGGAUAACCGCUUGAAAGGGUGGCUAAUACGGGGUGUUCUGGCCUGCUCGCAUGGGUGGGUUUGGAAAGAUUCGACCGGUUUUGGUUGUUUUGGUGGGGGAUGGGCUCGCGGCCUAUCAGCUUGUUGGUGGGGUGAUGGCCUGCCAAGGCUUUGACGGGUAGCCGGCCUGAGAGGGUGGGCGGUCACACUGGGACUGAGACACGGCCCAGACUCCUACGGGAGGCAGCAGUGGGGAAUAUUGCACAAUGGGCGCAAGCCUGAUGCAGCGACGCCGCGUGAGGGAUGGAGGCCGUCGGGUUGUGAACCUCUUUCGCCAGUGAAGAAGGUCCUGCUCUUUGUGGUGGGGUUGACGGUAGCUGGGUUAAUGAAGCGCCGGCUAACUACGUG